CUGGCUCAGAUUGAACGCUGGCGGCAGGCUUAACACAUGCAAGUCGAGCGGUAACAGGAGAAGCUUGCUUCUCGCUGACGAGCGGCGGACGGGUGAGUAAUACUUAGGAAUCUACCUAGUAGUGGGGGAUAGCUCGGGGAAACUCGAAUUAAUACCGCAUACGACCUACGGGAGAAAGGGGGCAACUUGUUGCUCUCGCUAUUAGAUGAGCCUAAGUCGGAUUAGCUAGAUGGUGGGGUAAAGGCCUACCAUGGCGACGAUCUGUAGCUGGUCUGAGAGGAUGAUCAGCCACACCGGGACUGAGACACGGCCCGGACUCCUACGGGAGGCAGCAGUGGGGAAUAUUGGACAAUGGGGGCAACCCUGAUCCAGCCAUGCCGCGUGUGUGAAGAAGGCCUUUUGGUUGUAAAGCACUUUAAGCAGUGAAGAAGACUCCAUGGUUAAUACCCAUGGACGAUGACAUUAGCUGCAGAAUAAGCACCGGCUAACUCUGUGCCAGA
rnacentral:rRNA from 1 species